UGACGUUGUUGAUGAGUGCCCUUUGUCUCCGCUGCCAUCUCCCAUCAGCAUCCACAAUUGCAGACUUUGUUUUCUGAAUGAGAGGACGCAUUCUUCCAAAGGGAUGACCUCUCUUCUCCCUGCUGGCCCUGGCACUGCUGACACCAGCCCAGCAGCCGUCUCUCCCUCCAUAUUUGAUUGUCUUUUCUCUCUCAAAGGCCCCCAGCCGGAAAUCUGACUGAUACACAGAGUGUGUAAAUUAUUGUGUCAAGGCAACGAGAGAAAGAUGGAACAUAAUUGGCCCAGACUCCUGCAGUGCCAAGAGAAGAAAGCCCCUCUCAUAAGAUUGCAAACUGUCUGAUGACACUGUUCUUCUGAGUGAUGGAAGCCCUUCAAGAAAGAAGCAGAAUACUGAAGAUGAAGCUAGAACUGUGAGUCUGUUGACACUUAGC